rnacentral:rRNA from 1 species
GACAGAGGGUGCAAACGUUGUUCGGAAUUACUGGGCGUAAAGCGCGUGUAGGCGGCCAUCUAAGUCGGGCGUGAAAUCCCACGGCUCAACCGUGGAAGUGCACUCGAAACUGGAUGGCUAGAGCCCUGGAGAGGAAGGUGGAAUGCUUGGUGUAGAGGUGAAAUUCGUAGAUAUCAAGCGGAACACCAGUGGCGAAGGCGGCUCACUGGCCCGGUACUGACGCUGAGGUGCGAAAGCGUGGGGAGCAAACAGG